rnacentral:rRNA from 1 species
CCUACGGGAGGCAGCAGUGGGGAAUAUUGCACAAUGGGGGGAACCCUGAUGCAGCGACGCCGCGUGGGUGAAGAAGCAUCUCGGCGCGUAAAGCCCUGUCAGCAGGGAAGAAAAUGACGGUACCUGAAUAAGAAGCCCCGGCUAACUACGUGCCAGCAGCCGCGGUAAUACGUAGGGGGCAAGCGUUAUCCGGAUUUACUGGGUGUAAAGGGGGCGUAGACGGCGCUGCAAGUCAGGAGUGAAAGCCCAGGGCUCAACCCUGGUACUGCUCUGGAAACUGGGUGGCUGGAGUGCAGGAGGGGCAGGCGGAAUUCCUGGUGUAGCGGUGAAAUGCGUAGAUAUUAGGAGGAACACCGGGGGCGAAGGCGGCCUGCUGGACUGUAACUGACGUUGAGGCUCGAAAGCGUGGGGAGCAAACAGGAUUAGAUACCCCAGUAGUC